rnacentral:rRNA from 1 species
UUAAGUUAUUAAGGGCGCACGGUGGAUGCCUUGGCACUAGAAGCCGAUGAAGGACGUUACUAACGACGAUAUGCUUUGGGGAGCUGUAAGUAAGCUUUGAUCCAGAGAUUUCCGAAUGGGGAAACCCAGCAUGAGUUAUGUCAUGUUAUCGAUAUGUGAAUACAUAGCAUAUCAGAAGGCACACCCGGAGAACUGAAACAUCUUAGUACCCGGAGGAAGAGAAAGAAAAUUCGAUUCCCUUAGUAGCGGCGAGCGAAACGGGAAGAGCCCAAACCAACAAGCUUGCUUGUUGGGGUUGUAGGACACUCUAUACGGAGUUACAAAGGACGACAUUAGACGAAUCAUCUGGAAAGAUGAAUCAAAGAAGGUAAUAAUCCUGUAGUCGAAAAUGUUGUCUCUCUUGAGUGGAUCCUGAGUACGACGGAGCACGUGAAAUUCCGUUGGAAUCUGGGAGGACCAUCUCCUAAGGCUAAAUACUCUCUAGUGACCGAUAGUGAACCAGUACCGUGAGGGAAAGGUGAAAAGCACCCCGGAAGGGGAGUGAAAUAGAACCUGAAACCGUGUGCUUACAAGUAGUCAGAGCCCGUUAAUGGGUGAUGGCGUGCCUUUUGUAGAAUGAACCGGCGAGUUACGAUUUGAUGCAAGGUUAAGCAGUAAAUGUGGAGCCGUAGCGAAAGCGAGUCUGAAUAGGGCGUUUAGUAUUUGGUCGUAGACCCGAAACCAGGUGAUCUACCCUUGGUCAGGUUGAAGUUCAGGUAACACUGAAUGGAGGACCGAACCGACUUACGUUGAAAAGUGAGCGGAUGAACUGAGGGUAGCGGAGAAAUUCCAAUCGAACCUGGAGAUAGCUGAUUCUCUCCGAAAUAGCUUUAGGGCUAGCCUCAAGUGAUGAUUAUUGGAGGUAGAGCACUGUUUGGACGAGGGGCCCCUCUCGGGUUACCGAAUUCAGACAAACUCCGAAUGCCAAUUAAUUUAACUUGGGAGUCAGAACAUGGGUGAUAAGGUCCGUGUUCGAAAGGGAAACAGCCCAGACCACCAGCUAAGGUCCCAAAAUAUAUGUUAAGUGGAAAAGGAUGUGGCGUUGCCCAGACAACUAGGAUGUUGGCUUAGAAGCAGCCAUCAUUUAAAGAGUGCGUAAUAGCUCACUAGUCGAGUGACACUGCGCCGAAAAUGUACCGGGGCUAAACAUAUUACCGAAGCUGUGGAUUGUCCUUUGGACAAUGGUAGGAGAGCGUUCUAAGGGCGUUGAAGCAUGAUCGUAAGGACAUGUGGAGCGCUUAGAAGUGAGAAUGCCGGUGUGAGUAGCGAAAGACGGGUGAAAAUCCCGUCCACCGAUUGACUAAGGUUUCCAGAGGAAGGCUCGUCCGCUCUGGGUUAGUCGGGUCCUAAGCUGAGGCCGACAGGCGUAGGCGAUGGAUAACAGGUUGAUAUUCCUGUACCACCUAUAAUCGUUUUAAUCGAUGGGGGGACGCAGUAGGAUAGGCGAAGCGUGCGAUUGGAUUGCACGUCUAAGCAGUAAGGCUGAGUAUUAGGCAAAUCCGGUACUCGUUAAGGCUGAGCUGUGAUGGGGAGAAGACAUUGUGUCUUCGAGUCGUUGAUUUCACACUGCCGAGAAAAGCCUCUAGAUAGAAAAUAGGUGCCCGUACCGCAAACCGACACAGGUAGUCAAGAUGAGAAUUCUAAGGUGAGCGAGCGAACUCUCGUUAAGGAACUCGGCAAAAUGACCCCGUAACUUCGGGAGAAGGGGUGCUCUUUAGGGUUAACGCCCAGAAGAGCCGCAGUGAAUAGGCCCAAGCGACUGUUUAUCAAAAACACAGGUCUCUGCUAAACCGUAAGGUGAUGUAUAGGGGCUGACGCCUGCCCGGUGCUGGAAGGUUAAGAGGAGUGGUUAGCUUCUGCGAAGCUACGAAUCGAAGCCCCAGUAAACGGCGGCCGUAACUAUAACGGUCCUAAGGUAGCGAAAUUCCUUGUCGGGUAAGUUCCGACCCGCACGAAAGGCGUAACGAUUUGGGCACUGUCUCAACGAGAGACUCGGUGAAAUCAUAGUACCUGUGAAGAUGCAGGUUACCCGCGACAGGACGGAAAGACCCCGUGGAGCUUUACUGUAGCCUGAUAUUGAAAUUCGGCACAGCUUGUACAGGAUAGGUAGGAGCCUUUGAAACGUGAGCGCUAGCUUACGUGGAGGCGCUGGUGGGAUACUACCCUAGCUGUGUUGGCUUUCUAACCCGCACCACUUAUCGUGGUGGGAGACAGUGUCAGGCGGGCAGUUUGACUGGGGCGGUCGCCUCCUAAAAGGUAACGGAGGCGCUCAAAGGUUCCCUCAGAAUGGUUGGAAAUCAUUCAUAGAGUGUAAAGGCAUAAGGGAGCUUGACUGCGAGACCUACAAGUCGAGCAGGGUCGAAAGACGGACUUAGUGAUCCGGUGGUUCCGCAUGGAAGGGCCAUCGCUCAACGGAUAAAAGCUACCCCGGGGAUAACAGGCUUAUCUCCCCCAAGAGUUCACAUCGACGGGGAGGUUUGGCACCUCGAUGUCGGCUCAUCGCAUCCUGGGGCUGUAGUCGGUCCCAAGGGUUGGGCUGUUCGCCCAUUAAAGCGGUACGCGAGCUGGGUUCAGAACGUCGUGAGACAGUUCGGUCCCUAUCCGUCGUGGGCGUAGGAAAUUUGAGAGGAGCUGUCCUUAGUACGAGAGGACCGGGAUGGACAUACCUCUGGUGUACCAGUUGUCGUGCCAACGGCAUAGCUGGGUAGCUAUGUGUGGACGGGAUAAGUGCUGAAAGCAUCUAAGCAUGAAGCCCCCCUCAAGAUGAGAUUUCCCAACUUCGGUUAUAAGAUCCCUCAAAGAUGAUGAGGUUAAUAGGUUCGAGGUGGAAGCAUGGUGACAUGUGGAGCUGACGAAUACUAAUCGAUCGAAGACUUAAUCAA